UCCACACCAUUUCAUAUGCCUUUUCGAUU
rnacentral:sRNA from 1 species